AUUGAACGCUGGCGGAAUGCUUUACACAUGCAAGUCGAACGGCAGCACGGGGGCAACCCUGGUGGCGAGCGGCGAACGGGUGAGUAAUACAUCGGAACGUACCCUGUCGUGGGGGAUAACUAUCCGAAAGGAUAGCUAAUACCGCAUACGACCUGAGGGUGAAAGCGGGGGAUCGCAAGACCUCGCGCGACAGGAGCGGCCGAUGUCGGAUUAGCUAGUUGGUGGGGUAAAGGCCUACCAAGGCGACGAUCCGUAGCUGGUCUAAGAGGAUGGUCAGCGACCCUGGGACGGAGACACGGCCCAGACUCCUACGGGAGGCAGCAGUGGGGAAGUGUGAACAAUGAGCGCAAGCCUGAUCCAGCCAUUCCGCGUGAGUGAAGAAGGCCUGCGGGUUGUAAAGCUCUUUCGGCAGGAACGAAACGGUGGGGGCUAAUAUCCCUUGCUAAUGACGGUACCUGAAGAAGAAGCACCGGCUAACUACGUGCCAGCAGCCGCGGUAAAAC
rnacentral:rRNA from 1 species